GACGACGCUGGCGGCGUGCCUAACACAUGCAAGUCAAGGGUGUAGCAAUACACACUGGCGAACGGGUGAGUAACGCGUAGGUAACCUGCCCUUAUCCCCGACACAACUCAGAGAAAUUUGAGCUAAUAUCGGAUGAGGCAUUUCGAUGUCAAAGGAGCGAUCUGGAUAAGGAGGGGCCUGCGUCUGAUUAGCUAGUUGGUAGGGUAAAAGCCUACCAAGGCGACGAUCAGUAGCUGGUCUGAGAGGAUGAUCAGCCACACUGGAACUGAGACACGGUCCAGACUCCUACGGGAGGCAGCAGUGAGGAAUAUUGGUCAAUGGACGAAAGUCUGAACCAGCGACGCCGCGUGUGGGAUGAAGGGGCUUUGCCCUGUAAACCACUGUCGGAAGGGAAAAAAAGAAGUAUGAACUUCUGGGAUUGUACCUUCAAAGGAAGGAUCGGCUAACUACGUG
rnacentral:rRNA from 1 species